rnacentral:rRNA from 1 species
CUCGUAGGCGGCUUGGCAAGUCGAUCGUGAAGGCCCGGGGCUUAACCCCGGGACGCCGGUCGAUGCUGCCAUGGCUUGGGUCCGGUAGAGGAGAAUGGAAUUCCCGGUGUAGCGGUGAAAUGCGCAGAUAUCGGGAGGAACACCAGUAGCGAAGGCGGUUCUCUGGGCCGGUACCGACGCUGAGGAGCGAAAGCGUGGGGAGCAAACAGGAUUAGAUACCCUGGUAGUCC